AGGAGCCAGCAGGGGAGAGGUUCCUGCACAGCAUUAGAUGUGUCUGACUUCUAAGGAAAAUGAGACUCCAGACACAUUGAUGGGGCAUCAACAAGACUGUGGAUAGGAAAUGAGUGAGCUGCCAACUAUUGAGCUGCUGAGCCGGAGACCACAAGACUCCACUUCUGUCCCCAUCAUCGCAGAGCCCUGCCAUCUGGAGCAGACCUCUGAGGAGAACUCAGGUCAGUGUGUCCUCAGGCCCAGACACUGAGUAGGAACCAGCAGGGAGCACUGGUGAACCCCAGCCAUUCUGCAAGUGUCCCCUCUGGGCCCAUGACUGCCAUCCUGAUGUGGCUCCUGACAUUGAAAGCCACCUGUAGGGGUGAGGGGGUGGUACAGGCAGGGACCAAGACCCACCCACAGUCCAACUUGGGGACACUUCCUGUUGUGAA